AUAAAAGCUCAGUUCUUUCUUGCCCUCUCUCAGACCUUUUUGUACAGGCCACUCGCUCUGGGAGUUGUCCAUGCUAUAUGAUAAGUCCAAAAUGCCCCCCUCUUAGGAACGAGCUCUGGAUGUUCAACAACUUUUACAUGGUUUCGCUUUACUCACGGCCCCCGUCUUCCCCGCACAGAUGUUGGAUACAUUACGAAACCUAUGAACAAUAAAGAAUGGCUUAAUGUUCUAAGGCUGCAAACAAAAGAAUGUUCUAAUGGCAGCAGCUUAUAUAUAUAUAAAAAAAGAUAUUUGGACAGGUUUAGGAUUCAAUUACUGUGUGAUUGAGUGUUGACAUUUUUGAGGCUACAUGACAGGAAAUUCAUUAGAAGCAGAGCAGCUUGGGAAGGAUUGCGGGCUGCCGUUAAAGGAAAUGGGUGAUUGCGAAAAGAAUGCUGGCGGAGGUAGAGAGGGCGCUGGAACAGAUGUUCAUGAAAAGCCGAUUGUAUUCCUUCUGAUGGUCGGGUGGCUGAAGUGGAGGUAGGCAGUGGAACAGAUGAAAGAGAAGCUGAAGAAUAAGAGUGUGGAACUCGCUCUCGUUGCCCGCAGUGAGGCAGAGGCCAGAGAGAGAUGCAGAUGGGCGCAUCCUCAGGUAAUCCAUCCAUUUAUGAGAAGGAUUGAUGGAUCUGAGGCAAACGCAACUGAGGUAAAGCCCACAUCUAUCUUGGCUAAGGGAUGUGGUCCACCGACAGGCUGGGAGGAGGAAUUACACGCACGAGCACGACGGCCCCUCAUAAAUCACUGCCGCCCAGGGAAAGUGUCACGUUCCAGCGCUUGGUGGGAAUUGGGCAGAGGAAACAGGAAGGGGAGCCGAUGACAACAUCUGGUUGUGAUUUCAGAGAUGCGGGUGAAAUAUGAAAUCGAAACGGGCCUUACAGAAAUACAUGUUUCAGCAGCAGCUGCUAAGGGCAAUUUAUUACAAUUAAUAUCAUCUUAAUGUUACCUUUUGAGUGACAAAAUUAUUUGCUUUUAAUUUUCCACAAUAUUUUCUAGGCAUGCUUGGGACUUUUCCAGACCACAAAGUAAUCAUCUUUUUGUCAGCACGGCUAUCUCUUACCUUCUGCAGCGUUUGAAUGAAUUAUUGAAAUCCUGACCUUGCAGCAGAAGCUGUCACAAAGGUGUCCAGCGCUCGGCCCUGUAGUGAGGGCUUGCUGUGGGUGGCAUGUGUGUGUGGGUGUAACUGGCUUGCUACCGUGACGACGGAGGCCCAGGAGACCCUGCCCAUUCCACAACGUGAUUGGUCGGUUUAUGAAGUGGCAUCUGCCGGCCAGGGGGCCAUAUGGACGAGCUGACAUUUAGCGGCACUCUCUGUGCCGUACAGGGCCGUACGGCUGAAAGAGAGGACUCAUGCUGUAACCUUUACACACAUGCGCACACACAAGCGAGCCAUAGUCCUAAAGCCCUGCUGUGACAAGCGCAGGCCCAUGCUGGUGCUAUGACACAUGUGCAUCAAACAGAAGAACAGGCAUUAGAUCAGAAGGGCAGACCACAUGUAUUAAAGAAUCGCCCCCUUUGCAGCUUUUCUAACACACGUCACUGAGGACGCAGGGAAAAGUGCAGCAUACGCGAGCCUCUCUUUCACCCCGAUGUGAGCUCAGCUGUGUGUCGCACUGACAUCACCCUGUCCCACACAAACUGAUGUCAGAUUCCACACUGAGGUUUCUUCAACUCUCUGGGACGGCUGUCGAACUGCUGGAAACCGCUAAUGGCAGAUCUCCGGUUUCAGUUCAUGUCUUUCACAACAUCACAAAGUCUGGGAAAAUUGAUCUGUUCUUGAGAGGAUUAACUUCAUGAACUCAUCAGCAAUUUAGGGUUUACCAUGUCACGUUAGCAAUUCCGAGAUUUUAAGUUAUAUUUUCACUGUAAUGUCCACCUUUCAAAGUGAAGCAUAAUUUCUGCACCACUAAUGUUGUGAAAUGCAACAGCAAAAAAUAAUAGCUUGCUACUUAUUUAUUUUGCCAUGUCAAGUUACUGAUUCAGAAAUUUUAAAUUAUAUCUUCACUGUAAUAUCAACCUUUCAAAGUGAAGAGUAAUUUUUAUGCCACUAAUGUUACCAAAUGCAACUACAAAAAUAACAGUGUGCUACUUACUAAAUACUGUAAAA
ensembl:lncRNA